GAUGAACGCUGGCGGCGUGCCUAAUACAUGCAAGUCGAGCGAACAGAUGAGGAGCUUGCUCCUCUGACGUUAGCGGCGGACGGGUGAGUAACACGUGGAUAACCUACCUAUAAGACUGGGAUAACUUCGGGAAACCGGAGCUAAUACCGGAUAAUAUAUUGAACCGCAUGGUUGAAUAGUGAAAGACGGUUUUGCUGUCACUUAUAGAUGGAUCCGCGCCGCAUUAGCUAGUUGGUAAGGUAACGGGCUACAAAGGCAACGAUGCGUAGCCGACGUCAGGGGGGGAUCGGCCACAUGAGAGGUGAGACACGGUCCAGACUCCUGAGGGAGGCAGCAGUAGGGAAUCUUCCGCAGUGGGCGAAAGUAUGACGGAGCAACGCCGCGUGAGUGAUGAAGGUGUUCGGAGCGUAAAACUCUGUUAUUAGGGAAGAACAAAUGUGUAAGUAACUAUGCACGUCUUGACGGUACCUAAUCAGAAAGCCACGGCUAACUACGUG
rnacentral:rRNA from 1 species